GGUGUGGGAGAUGGGUGACCUGCAGGGCAGCCUCCAUCCUUGACCAGCCUGCUGUGAUCCCCUGGCACCAAAUGCAUCCGAGCCCCUUCAGCUCUGCCUGUUCUAGGGAAACAUUUCUAGAGAGGUCCCUGGCCCCGAGGUUGAGAUGCAGGCUGCGCGGCUGAGAGAGUUCCCCGCCUCCCCCUCGGCUUCUCCGUGACAGCUACAAAUAGUCUCUUGAAUGUAUUUAAUAAACCCGGGGAAGGAGUUGUGGCUGCCUGGCCUCUGCUGGGGAGAGUGAUGGAUGUCUUCAAUGGGGAGAGGAAAGAAAACUUUCUAAAUGGACUCAAUUUAGGGAAGGAAAGUGGUCUGGAGGGAGUUUUUUGGGUGCCAACUCGUACAUGUGAAUGUGCAGCAGGGCCUAAGUGUCUUUGUGGCCCCUGCCGGAGCUGGGAACUCCCGGAGCCUUAGGCUCCACUGCCCGCGACCACACUCAACGCCCAGAAGAACAUUUGCAGGCCCUGAAAAACUCUUCUGUCCUCGGACCUUUAAAGUAAGGGCUGGAGUGGACACAUGGUGCCUGGCCCUUGGGGAUUCUGAAGUCUCCCCUUUAUUUCCCAAGAGGAGGCUCUGCCUCUUGUACCAGGAACCUUGUGAGGUGGGGAAGGUGUGGCUGCCACGUGUGUUUCUCUUGGAAGAGAAGAAGCAUGCAGGGCGAGGAGGGCUCAGACAGACCUGGGCAGCCGUGAGCAGAGGGCGUGACCGUGGACCCCAUGCGGGGCCCGUCGUCGUUGUAGGCCUCCCUGAAGAGCUGUGACUCACAGAGAAGGAAAGCUCUUUGGGCAGAAACUGAGGGAACCACACAGGUUCCGUAGCGCAAGGGAGCCUCUCCACGCCCCUGACCCAGACAGGCUUGUGUAUGACCUUUCACUCUGCCCCCUGUCCCCCUUCCACCUAUGGGUGGGUCCUGCUACUUCUCAAACACUUCCCUCACCUGAUCAGUAUUUAAAAAAUGUUUCAGGAGUUCCCACCAUGGCUCAGUGGGCUAAGGACCCAACCAGUAUCCAUGAGGAUGCGGGCUUGAUCCCUGGCUUCACCCAGUGGGUUAAGGCUCUGGCAUUUCUAUGAACUGUAGUGUAGGUCAUAGAUGUGACCCAGAUCUGGUGUUGCAGUGGUGCACCUGUGGCGCAGGCUGGCAACUGCAGCUCUGAUUUGACCCCUAGCCUGGGAACUUCCAUAUGCCACAGGUAUGGCCAUAAAAAGAAAAAAUGAUUCAGCAGCUCUUCUUGGGUGAGUGAAAAGCUUCCAGAGAAAAAUCCUCUACCUCUGGAAAAUUAAAAUAAGAGGUAAACUUGCAGAAUUCUUUAAGGGAUCAGCCUUGGAUUUCCCUCCCUGACACCAGCCUCAGAGAGGAGGAACGUGGAACGAAAGACAUGGGGAUGUUUAUUGGGGGGGUGGGAUGCACCCCACACACACCUACGUGCACAAACUCGCAAUCAGAUAACUGGCAGCCACUUUGGUUUUCUUCAACUAUCCAUCAUCACCUGACAUCCAUGAGAUGAGCUCAGCCCUUUCAGAAGCUAUUUAUAUUUUCAGCAUGUCCCAUCUCUACAUUUACAAGCUUCCGUAUGAAGUCACACUUUCUCUCUCAGUCUUUAACUAGCCCCAUAAAACUUCAAAGGGCACUACCUGGACACAAGCAGAUAUAAAGAAAGCACAGGACAGAUAUCUUCAGACUCAGAACUAGGUAACAAGUAUACAUACCAGAGGCAAAGUCUAAAAUCCUUGCAGGUUGAAGGUUUUAGUGGAGAGCUUAGUAUGGGCAAAUCUCGUGUUUCUGGAGAGGAAGGUUGAGGAAACCGUUCUGGCUUCCCCUCCUGUUGCUCCUGGAGGAGGCAACAUUUCCCAAGCUGCUUGGACACAGGAUGGCUCUGACAGCCUGGACCAGGAAGGGUGUUCUAGACAGGGGGUCGGAAGCGGAAGGAAGAAGAUGGGAUCCAAGCUCAAUGUGGGCAGCGUCAAGGGGUGUCUCUCAGCCCCUCCAUUCUGAGGUCCUCAUGCCAGCAGCAGCGAGACCUGGGAUCAUGACACUCCACUGGCCCAAGAAGGAAGCAGGACCUGCAGAACCCACUCUAGGCCACUGGAGCCAUGGCCCCCUGGUGCUUCUUCCCACCCAGAGGGGCAUAACCUGCCCCCCGUCCCUCAGAGUCACUCUUUUCCAAACCACCGCCUGGCGCCACAGUGCUCCUCCUGCUCUCCCAGCAGGCUUCUUUGUGGCUUUGACCACCAUAGGUCCCAUGGAGCCUCUCUGCAGUGGGACCAGAUGGUUCCCAUUCUUGUCCCCCAGGCUGCACCCAGGUGUCCUGUGGGAGCAAGGCUUAUGCACAGACCUGUACAGAAGUGCAGAGUCUUAGAUGGAAUCAGAUCUUCCGCAAGACAAAAGGAGGAGGAGAGCUGGGGGCAGGACAGAUGGAGGUAAUACUAGUACUCGCCUCCAGGGGCGCUGUGGGGAAGAAAGAGAAAAUGCAGGGACAGUACUUAGCGCGGUGGCUGGCUGGUGGUGAGUGCUUAGCGAAUGGCACCAGUAGCUUCGAGCCCUAGAGGAACCGCCUGGCCUCAGUCUUAUGACCCAAUGAGGUAGGGUUUCUGUGUUUAACAGAGCUCAGCUACUUCCUUCUGUUUUCCACUAUUCUGGGCUGUAAGAUGUGGCCUUCCUCCUGAGGGAAGGGAAUUCAGUCUCUGGGGAGCAGUGGAAAAGGAGAAAUACAAAACUGAAAAUAAUAAAGUGAGCACCUCGUGUGUGCUGGGGCAAAAUCCUAGAUGUUUUGAGUAUAUCCCUUUCUUUUGCAUAUAUUCCUUUCAUCUUUUUUGGUAUUAUAAUUAUGAAAAAUUUUCAAAUAUACACAGAGGUAGAGAGGCUACCCACCGAACCCCCUGUGCCCAUCCCCCGAUUUUAAUGAUUACCAUGAUUUUGCCACACUUACUUCAUCUUCCACCUUCUUGCUCAUUUUGUUUUUACUUUUGCUGAGUUAUUUUAAAGCAAACCCCAGACAUUAAUCAUUUCACGCCUCUGUAUGUCAGCAGUCAUUUAUACAAAAGAGGGACACAUUCUUACCUGACCAUAACGCCAUUGUCACCCCUAACAGUAAUGGCUUGGUAUAUCUGAUACCCAAUCCAGAUUUGAAUGUCCCAACUUCACAUACACAGUGUUUCAUCCUCACUUCUUCCCGGUUAAGUCAGGAUGCUCUCUCCCAUUUAACCACACAACUCAGGUUAGAUGGUGCACCCAGCCCCCAGCCCCCAGCCCCCAGGAACUGGCCAAGCCCUGCUGAGGGUGGGCCGAGCCCAUAAGCUCCCUCUAUGCCACGCUGAGGGUGGGAGGGCCUGGGAAGCCCAGGGGACCAAGGGAACAAGGGCCAAGUCUGGUUGAUGCCUCCACAGACACAGGUUUGCUCUGGCUGGCACUGCAGGCCCCACCCAAAGACUGUUUCUAAGGCCCAGAGUCUGCCCAGUGAACAGCACCGUGGUGUCCAGGACAUCCAAAGACUCUGAUACGACAAGAUCCCAAGUCAUGGUCUCUGCCCUUUAGGAGCUUAUGAUCCAUGGGGGGCGGGGGUGGGGCUUACCCUGCAGAAACAGCUCCAGAGCAAUGGUAGGGCCAAGUGGGAGGUGGAAAUGAACGUGGUAGGGGUUCAGAGGAGGGACUGGUGGGUGGGGAAAGGUGUGAUAGAGAGAGAGGCUGGUGGUGCAGCAGAAUAGCACGGGCUUGGUGGCCAAAGACAUGAUUUAGAAUCCCAGCUCUGUCACGUACCAGCUUUGAAACGUUACGGUCCCGAGUCCCAGUUUACCUCACUGGUAAAAUGGACCCAGUCAUCCCUCUUCACAGCUCACGAAAGGCCUCCCUGUGAAUGAUAAGCAGGUAUUGCUUGCUUCCAUCUCCCAUGGUUCCAUGGGGACGGCAGUCCCUGAAUGAGACCUAGGCUGGUUGCAGGGCAAGGUCACUCCCUUGGCCUCAACUCCCUCCACAUCCUAGGGUGGGAAUCUACAACUAGUGAUGCUGCUGCCAUGUCCCCAGCCUCAGCCUUUUCCUCUCCUGCAAAUCUGUCUCCCUCUUCUGGGUCAGGACCCUCCCAUCUAAGAGCUUAAGGAGGUUCUGGUCUGUCACUCUGGAGCCAAUGCCAACCUGAUCGCCUCCAUCCCUUUCUAGACAAUUAAAAAGCUACCCACUGUCCGGGUCACAUGGGAAGGCUGCUCAUCACGUGCAGCUGUGUGUGGAGGCAGAGUGGGUGUCUGCUCAGGGAGUAUUGGGUGUAUGCGUGCGUGAGACACCAGGGAGGUCAUUAUAUCCUCACCUUGGAUGCAGACAACUAACCAUAAGAGGCAUUCUUGCACUGAUGUGCUCGCAGAGGAUGCUGAAAUUAGACUCGUAAGAUAAAGAGCUAAGACUGGGUUUGCCUGCUCCCUAGCAGCCCUGUAGCCUUUGGGGUGAUCAGUCUCCAUUGUUAGGGGUGGGGAGAAGGUGGCACUUAGCCAUCUGUGUCACAAGUGAUCUCUGUCUGGGACCCUUGGGUCAACUAGCUCCCAGUUCUGGCAUCCGAUCAGACCCAAAUUACUUGGCAAGAUGGCAGGGGAACUGAGCUGUGGCCUCACCCCAACUGGAAACAUGCAAUCUCGCCUUGCCAGUUGGAGUGGUUCUAACCCGAUUAGCUACAGAAUGCAAUGUGUGUAUUCCCCUCUCUC
rnacentral:lncRNA from 1 species